UACGUAGGGGGCAAGCGUUGUUCGGAAUUACUGGGCGUAAAGGGCGCGUAGGCGGCACAGCAAGUCGGAAGUGAAAGCCCGGGGCUCAACCCCGGAAUGUCUUUCGAAACUGCUGAGCUAGAGUGCAGAAGAGGCAACUGGAAUUCCCAGUGUAGCGGUGAAAUGCGUAGAUAUUGGGAAGAACACCUGAGGCGAAGGCGGGUUGCUGGGCUGACACUGACGCUGAGGCGCGAAGGCCAGGGGAGCGAACGGG
rnacentral:rRNA from 1 species